CUGCCAAAUAAAAAUUAUGCACAGUUAAAAUGAAUAUAAAUAGCAAUUUUGAAAAUGUUACCACCUCUAGGAAAAGUUAGAAGAAUCACGAUAUUCGCACUACUCAUUAAAACACCGUUCGACAAUGAUUGCCGAAACAAAAACAAAACACAAACCUUUUGAUGUUUACCGGCACCGCUCGAGACAAGACUUUGUUUUCGAAAACACGAACAAUUUGUUGGAAAAAACAUAAUUGUUAAAAAAAUGUUUUGAUUUUGUUGUAAAAAUACGAGUUUGUGUUUUGUUUUAAUUUUGUCGUCUCAGUGUGGACGCGGCAUAUCAAUUAGAAUCAAUUUUUUGACUUCGUUUUCUCGUUAUAUCGAUUUACUCGGGGUUAGCGAAUUAAUAUGUCUACGUUGUCGCAAUACUCGAAAUUUUGUUGAUGUCACAAUACUCACAGUUAAUUCUGAGCCCGACAACACACACACUAUCUAAAUAUGCUUUAGAUUAGAUCGAUUUAUAUAUAUUUAUAAUUGAUAGGAAUUACUACAUGUAAAAUCAAUUAUUUCGAGUAUUUUGACGUACUUCAAUG